rnacentral:lncRNA from 1 species
CAUUCUUGGAAUGACAUCACGGAAUCACUUUUAGCUAGCUUUGCACAGGAAUAUUAAGGUUCUUUGUCCAUGCUAUCCAGACAAGUGAGAAAGUUAAUUUCAUUUUUGAGCACGCUAUAGGUGUUUUCUCUCGUAAGGACGAUGCUAAUCAUACGAGAGCUCUAUCUAGCGGCUGGCAGCUUUGAAGCAAAUCCUUGAUGGUAAUGAUUCACAAUUGGCAGGGACUUUAAGUGGAACUGAUUUUGAUGCAGAAGUUGCGGAGAUUUUUGCAUGUUCGUGGUUAACGAGGUAAAUGAGUUGGGAGAAACGGUGUUGCAUAUUGUUGCUGAGAAGCGGCAUCUCAAGGUUGUGAAGCAGCUACAAAAGAGAAGACUGCUGUAGUACAAUGUUUUUAUGGAAAGACAUUAACUUCUUUGUCUUCUUCCUAAAGCCAAUGGAAAAAAUGCUUGCAUUUUGUUACAAGAUUUAGACAUGAGAUUGUAAAAGCUUUAAUUAAGAUAAGAGUUUGAACGCUUUUAUAGAUAACACAUCUAUUAUU